GACGAACGCUGGCGGCGUGCUUAACACAUGCAAGUCGAACGGAAAGGCCCUGCUUUUGUGGGGUGCUCGAGUGGCGAACGGGUGAGUAACACGUGAGUAACCUGCCCUUGACUUUGGGAUAACUUCAGGAAACUGGGGCUAAUACCGGAUAGGAGCUCCUGCUGCAUGGUGGGGGUUGGAAAGUUUCGGCGGUGGGGGAUGGACUCGCGGCUUAUCAGCUUGUUGGUGGGGUAGUGGCUUACCAAGGCUUUGACGGGUAGCCGGCCUGAGAGGGUGACCGGCCACAUUGGGACUGAGAUACGGCCCAGACUGCUACGGGAGGCAGAAGUGGGGAAUAUUGCACAAUGGGCGGAAGCCUGAUGCAGCAACGCCGCGUGCGGGAUGACGGCCUUCGGGUUGUAAACCGCUUUCGCCUGUGACGAAGCGUGAGUGACGGUAAUGGGUAAAGAAGCACCGGCUAACUACGUG
rnacentral:rRNA from 1 species